rnacentral:rRNA from 1 species
UCAUACGUAGGAUCCAAGCGUUAUCCGGAAUUACUGGGCGUAAAGAGUUGCGUAGGUGGAUUGUUAAGUGGGGCGUGAAAGUGUACGGCUCAACCGUAUUAUUGCGUUCCAAACUGGCAAACUAGAGUGCGAGAGAGGUAGAUGGAAUUCCCAGUGUAGGAGUGAAAUCCGUAGAUAUUGGGAGGAACACCGAUGGCGUAGGCAGUCUACUGGCUCGUUACUGACACUAAGGCACGAAAGCGUGGGGAGCAAACGGG